rnacentral:rRNA from 1 species
GACGAACGCUGGCGGCGUGCCUAAUACAUGCAAGUCGAACGCAGUGGGGACGGGUGAGUAACACCUGGUUAACCUGCCAUCAACAGUGAUAACACUUGGAAAAAGGUGCUAAACCGAUCCUGAUGGAUGUACCCGCGGUUCAUUAGCUAGUUGGUGAGGAAACGGCUCACCAAGGCCACGAUGCAUAGCCGGCCUGAGAGGGUGACCGGCAACAAUGGGACUGAGACACGGCCCAGACUCCUACGGGAGGCAGCAGUAGGGAAUCUGAGGCAAUGGACGAAAGUCUGACCGAGCCACGCCGCGUGAGUGAAGAAGGUUAUCGGAUCGUAAAACUCUGUUGUUAGAGAAGCGGUAUCUAACCAGAAAGCAACGGCUAACUACGUGCCAGCAGCCGCGGUAAUUC